UUGGGCAGUGGAGACAUUGUCCUUCAGUUAGGCUGGCCCCAGAACAGGUGCUGCAUGGCUGUCGUCAGCUCGUGUCGUGAGAUGUUGGGUUAAGUCCCGCAACGAGCGCAACCCUCGCCCUUAGUUGCCAGCAUUUAGUUGGGCACUCUAAGGGGACUGCCGGUGAUAAGCCGAGAGGAAGGUGGGGAUGACGUCAAGUCCUCAUGGCCCUUACGGGCUGGGCUACACACGUGCUACAAUGGUGGUGACAGUGGGCAGCGAGACAGCGAUGUCGAGCUAAUCUCCAAAAGCCAUCUCAGUUCGGAUUGCACUCUGCAACUCGAGUGCAUGAAGUUGGAAUCGCUAGUAAUCGCAGAUCAGCAUGC
rnacentral:rRNA from 1 species